GUUUUCCAAAUGAUGGGGCUGCUGAAUGUGUUGACUCGUACAAGCAUAUGUCAGUGAUUGUUGUAUUAAACUCUGUGGAACUGCUGGUUGAUCUUAUGCGUUUUCCUGGCCAACUAUUACCACGAUCAACCAAAUCAAUUCUCAUGACACACAUUUCUGCUGCAGGAGAGAGUGAUUCCGCAGAAAAUGAUUCCUGUGAUUCACCUUUAGAACCAAAUAGCCCUUUAUAUGGGGUUUCAGAGAGUGUUGAAAAGGAGGAAAACCUCCAAUUCUGUAGAAGAUUUGAAGUGUCUUCAAAUGUAUCAGGCCUUUUAUUUUAAGGAUAAAACUAUGUGGAUAAAACUUCUCACUCAUCGGCAUAACAGAACAACGAGUAACACUACUCACUCACAUGAUGAAAUACAUGCAUGAAGGUAAACAAGUAUCAUUAAUUAGUAUAAUACACUAAGUGGAUAAAACUAUGGCCAUACAAGUCAAAAUAGUCAAAACAGUUAAUAUAGUCAUGUUUCAAGAUUUAAGUAUUAAAGUCUACUGGAGUGUGGGGAUAGCUAGAAACCAAAACUAGCUAGAACCGACUACCAUAAUUAGCUGCUGCAUUGGACGUGGCUGAAGUAUACAUGGUGCAUGCUGCUCAACCAUUACUAUAGAUAAUAGCGAAGCCAAGGAAUAAUGUCCGUUGCAAAUGGAUGGUUAUAUGUAGCUGCAUGGCAAUCACUGCCAGAAAAAUAACAGUUAUUCAUAUAUAUAUAUAUGUAUGAAUUUUGUUGGUUAGAGUUGACUUGGAUAUGAGGGAACUAAAUAUCUUUCAAGGAUGCAAUUACAUCAACUGUUGAAUCUCACCAGGUAGUUCUCAUAUCUGGUGAGACUGGUUGCGAAAAGACUACGCAGAUUUAUGCCACUGUAAGGAGUGGGUCAAUAGCUAUUACAACAUCAACUUUGGAUUCUCUGCUUGAUCUCAUGGCUGGUGGCAUACUUUGGUUCACUCACCUUGCAAUGAAGAACAUAAAUAUCCAUAAAUAUCCAAUUGGAAAGCUAAGAGUGCAACCAGUUGGCAUUAUUAUCUUUGCAGCAGUCAUGGCAACUCUUGAAAAACACAAGCCAAGGAUGAAGAAAAUUGAGGAACCAGAGAGUUGGAGUUGCAGCGCUCAACACAGCGCUGGAAAUCAAGUUUUGACAAGAAAAACUAGAAGAACCAGAGAUCUAGCAUUGCAGCGGUGAAGCUGGAGCUGAAACAUUGAGUUUCUGGAAAAAAAAAAAAAAACAGCCCAGCGCCCCAACACCCAACC